rnacentral:rRNA from 1 species
CGGCCCCCGAGGAGCGGAAACAAUCCUUGGGAGGUAUGCGGGGGCUUCGAGCCCCCCCAUUUACGCACGCACGACUGCCAUCCUUACUUUACGAGC